rnacentral:snRNA from 15 species
UCACUUACCUGACACCGGGUUCCGGGUGAUGAAGAAUGCUCUGACCCCCAGGUUUGAGGUUCACCAUUGCACCUCAGUGGGUUGAAACUCGUAACAGACACUAAUUGGGUGCGCUGGGGCGUAUAGUUUUUGUCAAUAAGGAGGCUUUAUAGUCCUCCCUU